GACGAACGCUGGCGGCGUGCCUAAUACAUGCAAGUAGAACGCUGAAGGAGGAGCUUGCUUCUCUGGAUGAGUUGCGAACGGGUGAGUAACGCGUAGGUAACCUGCCUGGUAGCGGGGGAUAACUAUUGGAAACGAUAGCUAAUACCGCAUAAGAGUAGAUGUUGCAUGACAUUUGCUUAAAAGGUGCAAUUGCAUCACUACCAGAUGGACCUGCGUUGUAUUAGCUAGUUGGUGGGGUAACGGCUUACCAAGGCGACGAUACAUAGCCGACCUGAGAGGGGGAUCGGCCACACUGGGACUGAGACACGGCCCAGACUCCUACGGGAGGCAGCAGUAGGGAAUCUUCGGCAAUGGACGGAAGUCUGACCGAGCAACGCCGCGUGAGUGAAGAAGGGUUUCGGAUCGUAAAGCUCUGUUGUAAGAGAAGAACGAGUGUGAGAGUGGAAAGUUCACACUGUGACGGUAGCUUACCAGAAAGAGACGGCUAACUACGUG
rnacentral:rRNA from 1 species